rnacentral:rRNA from 1 species
UACGAAGGGGGCUAGCGUUGCUCGGAAUCACUGGGCGUAAAGCGCACGUAGGCGGAUUGCUAAGUCAGGGGUGAAAUCCUGGAGCUCAACUCCAGAACUGCCCUUGAUACUGGCGGUCUUGAGUCCGGGAGAGGUGAGUGGAACUGCGAGUGUAGAGGUGAAAUUCGUAGAUAUUCGCAAGAACACCAGUGGCGAAGGCGGCUCACUGGCCCGGUACUGACGCUGAGGUGCGAAAGCGUGGGGAGCAAACAGG